CCUUUAACUUUCUGCAAAUACGCUCAACCAAAGCAGAGUAUGUGACCUCUUCCACUUAUUUCUUCAAUACAAUCGUGUGAAUUUCAUCUUCUCCUUCACCAUCUCUCGAUAUCCAAUUUAUUUCAGCCUUAUCCUUCAUAUAAUAUCCCCUGUAAUCAAAACAAAUGAUUGUGCAAGGCGGAUUUUGCAUUUUUCCUGAAAUAAAAUAGAAUAUCAUUAGAAUUAUCAUUAUUAAGAUGCUUAG
rnacentral:lncRNA from 1 species